rnacentral:rRNA from 1 species
GACGAACCGUGCGAACGUUAUUCGGAAUCACUGGGCUUAAAGGGCGCGUAGGCGGGUUGCCAAGUCUGUGGUGAAAUCCUCCGGCUUAACCGGAGAACUGCCGUGGAUACUGGCGACCUCGAGGGGGGUAGGGGCUUGCGGAACUGUGCGUGGAGCGGUGAAAUGCGUUGAUAUGCACAGGAACUCCGGUGGCGAAGGCGGCGAGCUGGACCCUUUCUGACGCUGAGGCGCGGAAAGCCCAGGGGAGCGAACGGG